rnacentral:lncRNA from 1 species
CGAUUUGAGAAACGGACGUCGAUUUGAGGAACGGACGUCGAUUAGAGGCCGGACGUCGAUCUGAGUCUAACAUAUAUAUUCGCAUUCUGAUUUUUUUUUAAAUGCACGUUCAAUGCAUGAGGUGUGUGUUUUUUUUUCUUAAUAAGACUAUGACCACAAAGGUAUAUAGGGUAGGAAAAUGAAAAGCACCAAUUACAAGCAUGCAAUUUAUCAAGUACUUUCAACUAAUUUUGAAACUCC